rnacentral:rRNA from 1 species
GCCUAACACAUGCAAGUCGAACGGUGAAGCCCAGCUUGCUGGGUGGAUCAGUGGCGAACGGGUGAGUAACACGUGAGUAACCUGCCCCUGACUCUGGGAUAAGCCUUGGAAACGAGGUCUAAUACCGGAUACGAGACGCUCGGGCAUCCGAAGUGUCUGGAAAGAUUUAUCGGUCAGGGAUGGACUCGCGGCCUAUCAGCUUGUUGGUGGGGUAGUGGCCCACCAAGGCGACGACGGGUAGCCGGCCUGAGAGGGCGACCGGCCACACUGUGGACUGAGACACGGCCCAGACUCCUACGGGAGGCAGCAGUGGGGAAUAUUGCACAAUGGGCGCAAGCCUGAUGCAGCGACGCCGCGUGAGGGAUGAAGGCCUUCGGGUUGUAAACCUCUUUCAGCAGGGAAGAAGCGCAAGUGACGGUACCUGCAGAAGAAGCGCCGGCUAACUACGUGCCAGCAGCCGCGGUAAUACGUAGGGCGCAAGCGUUGUCCGGAAUUAUUGGGCGUAAAGAGCUCGUAGGCGGUUUGUCGCGUCUGCUGUGAAAACUCGAGGCUCAACCUCGGGCUUGCAGUGGGUACGGGCAGACUAGAGUGCGGUAGGGGAGACUGGAAUUCCUGGUGUAGCGGUGGAAUGCGCAGAUAUCAGGAGGAACACCGAUGGCGAAGGCAGGUCUCUGGGCCGCAACUGACGCUGAGGAGCGAAAGCAUGGGGAGCGAACAGGAUUAGAUACCCUGGUAGUCCAUGCCGUAAACGUUGGGCACUAGGUGUGGGGCUCAUUCCACGAGUUCCGUGCCGCAGCAAACGCAUUAAGUGCCCCGCCUGGGGAGUACGGCCGCAAGGCUAAAACUCAAAGAAAUUGACGGGGGCCCGCACAAGCGGCGGAGCAUGCGGAUUAAUUCGAUGCAACGCGAAGAACCUUACCAAGGCUUGACAUACACCGGAAACUUCCAGAGAUGGUUGCCCCGCAAGGUCGGUGUACAGGUGGUGCAUGGUUGUCGUCAGCUCGUGUCGUGAGAUGUUGGGUUAAGUCCCGCAACGAGCGCAACCCUCGUCCUAUGUUGCCAGCGGGUCAUGCCGGGGACUCAUAGGAGACUGCCGGGGUCAACUCGGAGGAAGGUGGGGAUGACGUCAAAUCAUCAUGCCCCUUAUGUCUUGGGCUUCACGCAUGCUACAAUGGCCGGUACAAAGGGCUGCGAUACCGCGAGGUGGAGCGAAUCCCAARAAGCCGGUCUCAGUUCGGAUUGGGGUCUGCAACUCGACCCCAUGAAGUCGGAGUCGCUAGUAAUCGCAGAUCAGCAACGCUGCGGUGAAUACGUUCCCGGGCCUUGUACACACCGCCC